UGGGGAAUAUUGGACAAUGGGGGAAACCCUGAUCCAGCAAUGCCGCGUGUGUGAAGAAGGCCUUCGGGUUGUAAAGCACUUUCAGUGGGGAGGAAGGGGUUAAUGUUAAUACCAUUAAUCAUUGACGUUACCUACAGAAGAAGCACCGGCUAACUCUGUGCCAGCAGCCGCGGUAAUACAGAGGGUGCGAGCGUUAAUCGGAAUUACUGGGCGUAAAGCGUGUGUAGGUGGUUGUAUAAGUUAGAUGUGAAAGCCCCGGGCUUAACCUGGGAAUUGCGUUUAAGACUGUAUGACUAGAGUACUGUAGAGGAUAGUGGAAUUUCCAGUGUAGCGGUGAAAUGCGUAGAUAUUGGAAGGAACACCAGUGGCGAAGGCGACUAUCUGGAUAGAUACUGACACU
rnacentral:rRNA from 1 species